UGAUACAGCCCUCAAUGAAAUCAAGUUUGACACCCCUGGUGUAAUACCUCCCUUCAGAAAUAAACCACUCAGCUUGAAUGUAUCUGACAACCACCAAGGAAGAGGUCGUCUUUGCAAGGCGGUCUCUUCUUCUUACCUAUCUUCCCUCGGCCAGGCCGUAGCUUAAGCCAAGGAGCGUCGCGCCGGACAAAGAUUGUCCUCCAACUAUGGAUUCAUUUAUGAUCAGUACUGAAAACUACUUGGAAGAAGCAUAAAAAUAGAAAACAAGCACAGAAAAUAUAUUAUUAGAAGAAUAAGUAUGCGGUAUUUAUUAUUUAAGGAAUUUGGAGCUUUAUAUUCCCUUGAUGUUCCUCCUUCCUUUCACAAAUGACUCCAAAGUGUUACUUGGCAUAGAUGGACAACCCACACACCAUUCCUAGCAGCCUUUUCGCUACCUACUGCAACCACAAGUAGGCAUAUUCAAAAUUUUAUCCUUUCUGGAGGCAUUUCUGGAGAAAAUUUAAGAGAGAAAGUGGACGUGUCUUGAGUUUCUCUAUGCUUUAAAACAAAAAGCUAAUUUUCCUGCUUGGGCAUAUUUAAGUGGACAUCUUAAACCUUCCAGAGCCUAAAACAUCCCUUUUGCCUUUUAGCAUUCAGCCAGUGGUGUCGGGGGAAAAUGGCCAUCACUUAUUCCAGUGAUAUUCACACCCUCUCUCCUAAAUUCUCCAAUGCUACAUAAGGGAAAACUAAUCUAUUCUAAUGAAGAUGGAGCCAGGAUUUUAGUGAUUUUAUACUCAGCUGCUGAGUAACAGAUCAGCAAAGUAUCAAAUACACUAAGCAUUUCCAGAACACCUAGGAAAAAGGAUACAUAACUUUGAGUCAACCUUGAAUCUUGGUGCUAUUCUGCUAUUUGUUUUUUCUAGAAGUGUUCAUCUUCCCAAUCUAGGCUAAAAUCCUGAGAUUUCCUGGUGGUCUUCCACCCCAGCUCUUAAACAGGUUUGACCUUUUUUAAUAUUAGAGCCCAGGCAGUAUUAAGUCUAUUGCUGUUACUUGCUGAAACUCUGUGUCAUUAGAAAAGAAUAUCUACCUUAAAAUGAGGUCAUGCACAUGUAUGUUAACAAUUAUUUUCAACAUUUUUAA